AGUUUAUAUAAGGGAAAGAGGAAACCCUAGCUAUAUGUAAGUUCAGCGAGCAGAGACGACGCAUCUAAGUUCGGCGAAUUCACCAUGAGAGCCAAGUGGAAGAAGAAGCGCAUGAGGAGGUUGAAGAGGAAGCGCAGGAAGAUGAGACAGAGAUCUAAGUAGUCUGCGUCAUCGUGCCUUAUCCAUAAAUCUCUGUGAUCCCUUUCUUGUUUCUUGAACCCUUUAUGUUUCUUGUUCUUACAUUUAACGUUUCAAACAAUCGUCUGUAGAACAUGUUUUGCUCACUCCCUUUUAUAUCUAUUACAAGCAGAGAUUUUAUCUUAUAAUUUUCUGGA